rnacentral:lncRNA from 1 species
AUGCCAGGCAUGUUUUACAUGCUGUCCUGGAGGCUGGCAGCACAAUAACCAUUCCUCUCUGUUAUGUUAGGCUUUUUAAGAAUAUAAAUGGGUCCAGGUCACAGAAUUUUAUGGCUGGGUUGAAUAUUUUCCUUCUCCCCCACUUUGACAUCUUGACAGGAAUGAAAGUUUAAAGAAGAUACAGAAAAAUGGAUAGUGAAAGCCUGUAUCCUAUCACUCAGAUAUCACACAAGGACAAGAAAAAAGAGAAUUGCAAAGUACUAUACCAACAGAUGGAGAAGGAAAUGGCAACCCAUUCCAGCAUUCUUGUCUGGGAAAUCCCAUGGACAGAGGAACCUGGUGGGCUACAGUCCAUGGAGUUGGAAGAGCUGGACACGAUUGAAUGACUAAAUCACCGCCAUGCAGACAUAAACCACCUCCACCGUGCAGACAGAAGCAGCUGUCAAAGUAGAAAGAUUAAUCGCAUGGGAUCUGCUGUGAGACUAUUUGGGUUUAAAUUCUGGUGCUCCUCACUUACUAUACAACCUUGGCCAAGUUCUGUAACUUGUCUAUGCCUUAGCUUCCUUGUCUAUAAAAUGAAUUUUAGUAACAUU